GACGAACGCUGGCGGCGUGCUUAACACAUGCAAGUCGAACGAAGUGGCGAACGGGUGAGUAACGCGUAAUCAACCUGCCCUUCAGAGGGGGACAACAGUUGGAAACGACUGCUAAUACCUCAUACUGUCGGCUGGUAUUUCGUCUGAUUAGCUAGUUGGAGGGGUAACGGCCCACCAAGGCGAUGAUCAGUAGCCGGGCUGAGAGGAGGAACGGACAAAGUGGGACGGAGACACGGGCCAGACUACGACGGGAGGCAGCAGUGGGGAAUCGUCCGCAAUGGACGAAAGUCUGACGGAGCAACGCCGCGGGAGGGAUGACGGCCUUCGGGUUGUAAAGCUCUGUUAAUCGGGACGCGGUACCGGAAUAGAAAGCCACGGCUAACUACGUGCCAGCAGCCGCGGUAAUAC
rnacentral:rRNA from 1 species